GGCCUUAGCUCAGCUGGCUAGAGCACCUGCUUUGCAAGCAGGAUGUCAAGGGUUCGAAUCCCUUAGGCUCC
rnacentral:tRNA from 1 species